UUCCCGCAGGGGGUUCUGGGAUAUUCCUGCUCGCCUGGAGAACUGCAGCUUCUUGUAAAUCAAAGAUAAUCCUGCGCAAGGGGGCCUUCUUCAUGCAACACCUGUGCCGACAGAACCCCGGACGUCUCUUCCCAGCACCAACGCAGCCUGUUUACGGUUGCUGCGGUGACGUUGGAUUCUCGAAGAUGAGCAAGCAGAGGAGAGAGCGUC